CGUCUGGGACACACCACAGCGGGGAGUCUGCCUGGGGCAGGGAGCGGAGGCAGGUGCGGGCGCUCCGCAGUCACAGCCGGGCUGGGAGCAGCGCAGGGAGCAGCGGGCAGAUUUUACCCAAAGUGAUUUACUUCUGCAAGUCUAAGAACCAUACAACAGAAUAACACAAUGAAGGAUGAUUUCAUAAAUUACAUAGAAAAGAAACCACCUAAUCCUAAAUCUGCAAGUAAUGGCUAUGACAAUCCUGCUUUCCAACAUGAUGAAAAACCUGAGCAAAAUAACCAGUUACAGAAGAAC